GGUCGGAAGUUCAAGUCUUCCCAGGCCCACCACACUCAUCGAGUAAGCAUUCGUCUUCUGGUUACGGGGCCAUAGCUCAGCUGGGAGAGCGCGUGCUUUGCAAGCAUGAGGUCGUCGGUUCGAUCCCGUCUGGCUCCACCAGCCUUCGCUGGCUAAGCCAGCUACGGCGAGGCGAGCCGGUCGAAUGCGAAGGCUGCCACGUCGGAGCUCGAAAGAGCGGAGACGGGCCGGCGCCUGACCGACAAAUAAUCGUCCGCGAAACAUCACUUCGCACCCACUAGUCCGGAUGGACGGUGAGGUUGCGUGAUUUCUGACAUCGUAAAGAGGAGAUCGAUCCGAGUUGGAUCGUGCAGCAAGCAAUUGCUACGCGAUACUUCAUUAUCUCCGGAUCAUUUCGGCGCUCACGCGUCCUUCAAGGUCAAACUUGAAAGACGGGCGAGUUGUAAAUGAUCCUUUUAGCGAAGCUUGACCGCCUCGCUAUCGGAACGAUCUUACGAAGCAAGCUGGUCUUUCUAAUCAUUGUCCGGCUGUAUGUAGCGUUCAUCGAGGGCGCGCGCCGCAAGGCAAUCGUACAGACAACAUUCUGCCGAGUGUGUGGACAUUGAUAAUGAGAGC
rnacentral:tRNA from 1 species